UUCGCUAUCUCCAAGCUCCCUUCCAAGUCUUCUCCUACCUCUUGCCUCCACCCCCUUCAUCUAAACAAAGGAAAGAUAGAGAAAGGAAGAAAGUGAGGGACAAAAAAAGCAUGAUGCCAUUUGUUUCAUCUCUUAUGGUGCUGCAUGGGAUCCUGAUGGCCCAUGAUUGCUUGCAUUCUCCCUCAUCUUUAGGUUCAGGAUGCAUUAGCAUUGUUGACAAUGACAUUGUUCAAAUCAAUAAUUUGCAUCAUUCGAUAAGGCUCAAGAUCAUAGAUAUUUUUGAACAUGGCUUCAAAACUACCAUCCGAAAGUGUUGGCUAUAUGGGCAAAGUUAGUGGAGCACCAGAUAAGGCUUAGUUGGGACACUAUUAAGAGGACAGUUUUGGCAAGUGAUGAUUGGUGGGAAAGAAAAUGACAAGAAAGCCCAGAGUAUUUGAAAUGGAGAAAUGAUUGUCCAAAGUUCUUGGACAUGAUGGAGAUAUGCUUCAAGAUGUAGUGGUGACAGGCUACAUGGCAUUGGAACCAUAUGCUGACCCAUCAACUGAGAAUGAAGUUGCUAACCAAAAUGCUUAUGCUUGGAUGAAUGAAGUAGACAUAGAGCUAGAUAACUUUAAUGAUGAUGAUAAUAAUCCUCAACAAUAUAAUGAUGUUACAAUGGAAGAAACUAGUACAACACAAGAUAAAAAGUGACAAAAAAACAUCACGUAGAAAUAGACAUGGCCAUGGUUCAGGAACCGCCGGUUACAGUUCCUAAAUUGUCGGUUGUGGUUCCAAAAAACUUUGAACUAGAACCAAACUGCCUAGGCAAGGUUCCUAGCGGUUCAGUUCCGAUUUCGGUUCUGGUUUCGGUUCUGUAGGUACUGUUCAACGGUUCCGGUUUGACGGUUCAAACAGUUCGGGCCAUUUUUUUUGUCUAUGUCGUUCACCUCCACAGUUCGAUGAGCGAAGAAAGUCACAACGAUUCCAUCCCAUCUUAGAAGGAACUCUUUAGAAAUUAUAAUGAUCGGAGGCAGCAACGAUGAUCACCUUGUCUAUCACGUCAAAGAUAUCUAAGAUCGAGCUAAGGAAGAACCAUCUCCAAUAAUCCAUUGAAGAUGAACUCCCAUCCAUCUUUCUUCCGCUCGAGUUUGCUCCUCCCCACCUUCUCCACCAUCAGGUCAGGCUUCCACAUCUAUAGAUUGAUCCAUCCCGCCACCCUCAGAUAGAGAUCUAGGAUUAGGAUUUCAUCAGAGGGGAUUUAGGAUUUUUAAGAUUUCAAGAAAGGGUCGGCCAAAAGAGAGAACAAAUCAAUAAAAUAAAAACUUAAUUAACUGGUUUAAUUCAAGUGUCCAGACCUAACCUAAUCAGACUAUUCACAUGACCUAAAGCCUUAAACGGUCAAACCUAAUCAGAUAUAAUAAAUCAUAACAUUAUUUUAUAUAAUAUAAUAACAUAAAUGUAACUAAGUAAUUUGAUAUUUUGAAUAUUUUGAUUCAAGUGGAACCGGCGGUUUGAAGUGCCGGUUGAACCACCAGUUCCACGGUUUUUAAAUUUUGAAACCUGAACCCAACCUUAUAUGAAGGCUUCGGUUCCAGUUUUAGGACAGUUAUGGUUUUUCCGAUUUCGAUUAUGGUUUUUGGCGGUUCGGUUCCGGUUCGGUUCCACGGUUUUGGUUCAAAAUGGCCAUGUCUACAUAGAGAAUUGAAAAAAAGUGCAAAUGAGAAAUCACAAAAAUCAUUUGACUGACUAAUCUAUGGGAUGGAUAAUAUGUUUAUAUUGGUAAUGUAAGAGUUAAGAAUGAUGAUCGUUGCAGAAUAACCAAAUGUGUGGAUUUAUUUUACACAAUGUCGGGGAUUGAACAAGGAAGUCCACAUUACUUUAUCAUAUUGAGGUUGUUUGCAAGGAAAUAUCAUAGGGAGGCUUUUGUGGCACCAGUGGAAAAAGAUCCAUCACUUGCUACCGGUUGAUGUAACACUUUCAGCAUGGACGACCUCACUCAACUUUGAGUUUGAUGAAUGCUCAUUUAUUUUGGGAAUGUUUGAAUUUCUUUGUUAUGUUUUUGUUUAUGUCCUCAACUUGUGUGUUAUGCCUUUUAUUUAUGUGUUCAACAUUGUGUCAAACUUUUUACAUGUUGAACUUAUGUGUUGAAUAUUUUAUUAAACUUUUGGUAUGCCUAUGUUUUAUGCUAAACUUUUGUUUUGUAUUUGAUUUUGUUUCUUCGUACCUUUAGAUAUGUUGCACUUAUUUUCUAUUUAUUUGCUUUAUGUGUUGAUUUUUUUAUUGUAUUCAACAUUGCAUUAAACAUUUGUUGAGGUUUAGGUAGGGUGUAAAUCUAGAAUGAAGUUCUUGUCCGAUUCAGAUAAAGAAUCAAAAGAAACAAUGUUUCA